rnacentral:lncRNA from 10 species
GGAGUAAUGUUGGGAAGCAGGUUUCUCUCCAGGCUCCGGGGCCUGGAGUUGGAGGCUAAUGUCUGGAGCUGUGCAGAGGCUGUUCACUCUGGGUUAGAAACCUCUCAGCCUUCAUGAGCUUUCUUCAUACCCACAUAAGGUAGGUGCAGGCAACUCACUUGGGGCACCAAAGCUAAAGCCUUGUGCAGCCAAUGAUGAGGCCUUCCCUGAGGGGCAGCCAAUGGCCAUUUUUCCUGCCAUCUGGCUCAAUUCAGCCACCAUGUCACUAACUGGAGCACACCCUGGUCCUGGUUUACAGUGAGCAUUAGCCAUGGCUCUCUAAUUCAGAUGCUAAGUCUUUUGUAUGUUUUUGCUUUGAUCUCAUGUCAGUCUCUACCCUUGACUUUGACAUUUGGAUUCAUAGUAACCUCCCACUUUUCCUGAAUUUUGUUUGCAUCUUGAUGAUUUCACCCCCAGAAUGAGAGAAAGAUUUUGCCUUUUGAAAGAGUGGUUGAGCCUAUAUAUCCUGAUGACACAGCCUGUAGGAUGGCCCCCAAUGCCCUCCACCUCCUGGUGUUCAUGGCCUUGUGUAAGGCCCUCCCCUUGAGCUAUACACGUAUUCUAACAAAUAGAAUACAGCAAAAGGGAUGGACACAAUUUCUGAGAUUAGGUUAUAAAAAGACUGUGGCUUCUGUAUCAGGUAUCCACUCCUUUCCUUUUCCCUUCCCUCCCCUUCCCUCCCUUUCCUUCCCCUUCCCUCUCCUCCCCUGCCCUCCUCUUCUUUCUCUUUCUCAGAUCAUUCGCACUGGGGCAAGCAAGCUGCCAUGUUGUGGGCAACUUUACAGAGAGGCCCACGUAGCGUGGUGAGAAACUGAGAUCCUCAGUGCAAUAGCCUGUGAGGACUGACACCUGCCAACUUACCAAAGAGUAAGCUCAGAAGUGGAUUUUUCAGCCCCAGUUGAGUCUUGAGAUGACGGAAGCCCGAGCCAACAGCUUGACUGCCAUGUUAUCAGAAACCCUGAGCCAGAAUCACUCAGUUUAACCACUCCUAGAUUCCUGACCCCCAGAACUGUGAGGCUGCUGCUAGCCCAUAAGGCAUCUUUGUGCCAGUUAUGAAACGGGACUCAUUCUUCAAGAUGCUUUUCUCCCUUUGGCUGGAAGAUUGUCAUAAAUCUCCAAUCUGUGAAGGGGGCCAUGCUGUAUUAGUCCAU